AUCCAUUUUGAUGCUCGAACAGCAGCAAGCAGCAGCUCAGGAAAGUGCUUAGAGGGCAAAUUAGCUUCCAGCAACUGCAGCCGGAUUGCAUUAGUUGGCACCGAAUUAGGCUGACAGGCACAGGAUGGAGGCAACUGAGGAGCAUGCUGCCAUAUGGAGGGAAGGAUAUUCUGUGCACCUGCAAAAGAUGAAGUCUGUGAACUUGAGUUCAUCACCAUAAGAGAAGAUUGUGUGGGGGAUGAGAAAAGAUGAAAAGCAUUCUGGACUCCUGGAAAAUCUGGAGUCCUCGAGCCUGGUGUCCCACAUGAGGUCACUGCACAUGCCUGCAUCUCAGUGCUUGCAUCUGUAAAUCAAGAAACAGAGGUUUCCAAACUGCAUACUCUUUUCACAUCUGACCUGUUUAAUAACUGAUCAUAUAAGAGAAAAUAUGGGAGUUUAUAAAAAGGAAACUAAAGAAGAGGACAUUUGAAGAAAGAAAAUUGAAGAGAAUUAUCUUCUGCAAGGAAAUAUAUAUAUUUUUUACUAUUAUCUAAGUCUUAAUUUUUUAACCAAAGUAUGAAACAAACAAAACAACCUUCUAAGUGCAAUGAACAUAUAAUGUUCUCUCCUGGGCUUUUGCAAACGGAGCACAUGUUUUAAAGAAGUUGAAAGAACAUUGGCCAAGACGGAGCCCUCUGUCUUUCUUCCCUCCCUCUCUCCCUCUUUCCUCUCUUACUUCCCUCAUUCACAAAUUAACUCAUUCAUUCUUUAGUGUAUACAUUUUUUUUUUCAGAUCUGGUCAGCUUAUAAACUGUAUCAAGGGAAGUAGUAGACAAUGAGUGUGGAAAGGCAGAUCUGAGUUCAAAAAUCACGCUUUCAGGACCAAGCUCCAGCCUCAUCAAUUACUUAGUGUCCUCCUAAUGUUGUCUCAGGGUCUGACUCACACAUCGGCCGUACUCGUGUUGGGGACAGAGCAGAUGCAGACGCCUGGUGCGUUUCCAGUUCGAGGGAUGAAGACACCAUUGAGGCUACAUAGUGUGAACUUGACAGUGUCUUGCAAGAUAAGGAGAAUGGCAGAAACCACAGCAAUCUCAGAUCAGGUGAGCUGAACUUGAAGUCCAGGGCGACAGUGCAGGCUCACGUAAUGAUUAAUAAUGCGGACUAGAGGCAGCUCUUAAUUUGAAUCCCUAUUUUGUCACUGCCUACUGGUUAGACAUGGCGCCAGUUAUUUCUCUUCCCUCAGUGUCAUGUCAUUUUCUUUGGUAAUUGACACAAUGGUGAUGAUAAUGGAGAUACAGAUCUUAUAUCAUAAAAUUGUAUCAUCAUUAAAUGAGAUGAUCCAUAGGUGAUUCUAUAGUACUGAAAGAAGACUUGUUAUCAUCUUUGACUAAGUCACAGGCAUGCAUUGUAAUAAAUGCUUUUUGUAAUUAAAUGCAUUAAUUAAUAUUUAGUAAAUAAUAACAUCCUGAUCUAAUAAUAAUUACCCUUUUACAACAUGUAUAACAACCACACUUAUAGCUUCCCUUUCCUUCUCUGAUGCCCAGUUGGGGAUCAUGUCUCUAAAUAUUGACCAGUCUCAACAGACACUGUGAAUAUAAUCAGUCCUGUUUGCCUCGUUGACAUUUAUUGAAUUUGUUUUUCUUUCUUUUUUAAAAAAUUGCAUUUUAGGUUUUGCGGUAUAUGUGAGGAACAUGAAAGAUUGUUGCGUAGGUACACACAUGGCUGUGUGAUUUGCUGCCUUCCUCCCCAUUACCUAUAUCAGGCAUUUCUCCCCAUGCUCUCUCUCCCCACCUCCCCACCCCCUGCUGUCCCUCCCCUAUUUCUCCCUACAGACCUCAGUGUGCUCGUCUUUCAAAGGAUGAGAAGAGGUCCAGGAAGUGCUGAAUCCAGAGUAAGACCAUGUCGACUAGACAUAGGUCAGCUCAGCACCUUCUGCAGGAAGGUCCCACUGCUUUCUGUUUGGGUCUUAUGUCUUCUUUCCUUUUCAUUGUCUGUGAUACUUUUUAUUUGUUUUACAUAUUAUUGCACUGACCAGAAUGUCUGGAACCUACUGAAUAGCUGCAAUAGCCAACAUUCUUUCUUGCAUUCCACGAUUAGGCACGAUGCUAUUUAAGAUAAAUUUAGAAAGAGUGUAUUUUCCUUUUUCUAAUUUCCUAUACAUAUUUUAUUUUAUUACCUGCUUUUGUAAUAAUUUCAACACUUAUUUCAGAAUCAGGGAGUACACGUGGAGGUUUGUUACCUGGGUGUAUUGCAUGAAAAUGAAGUGUGCGGUAUGACUGAUCUUGUCACCUAGAAACUGAGCAAUUGUUUUUCAACCCUCAUCCUCCUCCCUCCCUGCUAGUAGUCACUAAUGUCUAUUGUGUCCACUUUUAUGUCCACAAGUCCCCACAGUUUAGCCCCAUUUAUUAGUGAGAACAUGUGGUAUUUGGUUUCCUGUGCCUGCAUUAAUUUUCUUAGCAUAGUGCUUCCAGCUUUAUCCUUCUUGCUGCAAAGAACAUGGCUUCAUUCCUUUGCGUGGCUCUGCAGAUUAUAUUUUUAAUGCUUUUCUUGAGUCACAUUGACUUCAAAUGCAUAUUAGAAACUUAUAUUUUCCUUUUUCUUUCUUUCUGGAUGUUUCUGUCUCAAUACUUUGAGCUUUUUCAGAGAUGUCUACCACCAAAUGAAUGAUUCAUGACAUAGUAUGUAUUGGCUUUAAGAGCUUGGAUGAGACUAUGAAACUGGAUAUGAAGAUGAGGGUUAUAUAUUUAUAACCUUCUAGAGGAAAAAACUCCUAAUUCCAUCACCAACAGCAACUGGUACAUAGCAAGUACUCAAAUAAAUGCUUGUUGAAGUGACAAGGUAAGCAUCAGAUGGCUGUUCUGACUUGCACAUGGCAAGGCAGAGCUGAGAAUUAGCACAGAGACCUAAGGGAGAUGAUCCACCUCCAUCAUUCUCACUGUGCUGAUUGGUGUUUAUUGUACUAUAUCAAGUCAAUUUGUUGUUUAGAUGGUUCCUUCUGGGAAAAAAUGUAUGAGGAAAGAAAACUUUACUGCCUGUUUAAUAGACAAAAAUUAAGCCAUUGAGAAAAUAAACCAGUUUUCCAAGAUCAAAUGUGGACAUUUUUAUGGGGGCUCUACUUUUUACUCUGUGAAAUUUGAAAUAUCUUGAUUUUUAAUAUCAAAGUGAAUAGCAUUUCCAGCCCCCCCCCCUUUUUUUUUGGCUCAGAUGUAACAUUCUCAUAUUACAAAAGAAAAAAAAAUCUUAAAAAGGCAUAUGAGUUUAGUCAUGAAAUGGAAUUACCAACUCAUUCCAAACCUGUACGUCUCUUUGAUUGACUGCUUGAUGGUAAGAAGCCACCUUGUGAGCCCCUAUCUAUAGAAACAGUCAAAGACAAUAGUUUCCAAUAGACUUGCACCAGAGAAUCACUUAGGGUCUUAAUGGAUUAUUGUAUCUAUCGAUCUUCCUUUUUCCCCCUAAAGUAGUCAUAGAAUUAUUAUUUGUAGAUUGUUGUUAUUGAGAGGACUUUGAGAAUUGUGUAGUCCAAUCUUCUCACUUUUUUUGAUAAAUCAGUCAAAAUCCAGAAAGACUAAUUAUAUUACCUGUGAUUUCACAGCUACUUAGUGAGAAGGAGACACCAAGCUUCUAGCUGAGCAGUCUCGAAUACAGCACAAUGUCUUCAGAAAAAUACACUCUAGUGUUACAGGUGACCUCUCUGUGACUUUCCUUGUGAAAAGCAAGCCAUUUGGUAGUAUCAAAUAUGUCUUUUUCUGUUGAUUUUCUAACUUUUCUCCCUUAGAUUCACUCUGUUAUUGAGGGAAUAUCUAAAGUUGGAAACAAUUUUCUAUAACUAGUGAUUUAUAAAAAUAGAACAGAAUGAUACCUCAAUCCCCCUCUCAACAAAGAAUAUUUCCUGAAGUUGGAAAAAUGAUUUUUUAAAAUUACUUAAGCCCCUCAAUUAUAGUUUUCAUAAGAAAAUCACUGUAAGUUUGAAAGAGGGUGAGGAACAGUCAUGCACACACACACACACAUAUCCUUAUUAAGAUACUAGAGUGUGCUCAAAGAUUUGGCUGAAAUCAUUGAAUUUGUGAGAAUAAAAGUCACGUUACAAUCAUAUGAAAGAUAUAUAAUAAAGAAGAUUUAAAUUUUACAUUAUCAUCGCAUUAAUGUGAUUAUCGCACAGGUAGGAUAAAAUAGUACAACAUAAUGCAUUUAAUAAUUUCAAACAUUCAAAAGGAAAAACAAAUAUAUAUUGGCAUAAAAUAAAAAACUAAAAUUUGUAUUUAUAUGACAUACUUAAGAUUAUAUUUCUUUCAUAAAUAUUAACUUAUUGGAUACCUCCAAGAAUUUGGAGUUUAGGUAAAGAAUGUGUUAAUAUUACCUUUCCAGAUGAUUUGUAGCUCAGACAGAUUGGCUUAGCCCAAAUCACAUAGCAAGUAAGUGAGGCUUCGGAUCAUCCAGAAUGAAUCCAGCAUUCUUACCCCAGAUCUGACUGGUUCCUGGAGGAAGAGGAAGUAUCGAUGUGGGAGACUUAGGUUGCGGAAAUGAUGACAGAUGAAAAUGUGGGGAAGAAAAAGGAAUAAAUGAUUUUGAAAGGUGAAGAUUAGUGACAUAAUUAGUGACAUAAAUAAAACUGAUCUUAAUUUGUUCACAAACUUCUGACUUGAUAAGGAGAAAAUAAAAUCCAAAAUCAACCCAUGCUGACUAUAUAUCAGGAAGUCCAUUUGAUAUUGAAAACCCAAAAACGAUUAAAACACGGACUUCACUUUACUGGUGCUCACAGAUCAGAAAUUGAGUUUUAGUCCCCCCCGCAAAAAAAAACUUGAAACAUGAGUUAUAACAAGAAAUACUUUAAAUACGAGAUGCCUUCGGUUAAAAAGGAAUGUGGUCAGUAUUAAAUAUUAAAAGAACAAUGUAAAAAUACUUGUAUGCCAAAAAUGUUAAUUAUCUGUUGAAUCUGAUUUUUUAAAGAAAACAAAUAUGUUAUUCUAAAACAGUUGAUUUUAUACAAAUUUAAAUUAAGUGAUCAUUCGAAUAUUUGACUUGUAAAUUAUACAAAUAAUAUGGACUUUCUGAUCUAAGAAAAAAAAACCCUUAGUUUAUGUAAUAUCAGAUUUUCCUUAUGCAGAUAUCAGACAACUACAGCUUCUGAACAUAAGCACACACAUGCAUAUUUCCAUACAUUGAUAUACAGUUAUAGCUAUCAGAAGGAUAUAAGGAAAUUUUCAGCCUUCACAUCAAAGAGGUGAGCACUAACAGAGUGGUACGAGGAAGGGUCUUGGCAAACCUGGAUGGAAGGAAGCCUGUGUGUGGCGUGUGGGGAGGGGCUGUCAAUGUGGGAGCAGAAUGUGGACACAGCAGAGCUCAAGCGUGGGACAAAUGAGGAUGAAGUGGCUCCGCCGUGCAGGCUGCUGGACCCUGAACACGGCUGGGAACUCUACAGCUUGUGAAGCAGAAACUCUGAAUCC